UGGCUAUUCCAAAGCUUAGCGUACAUGGUAUGGUUUCUGCUGUGAAAGAUAUUUUAGAGCAGCUUAAACUUUGUGUUGCACAUCAUUACCCAAAAUACAGUUUGUUGAAAGUAUGGCGAAGUCUUAGUUAUAGUCUGAAAACAACUCUCGGUGCAAGUCACGACGUAGAAAUGCUUAAUCGUGCCUUAAUAUCGGUCUGCAGUAGCAUGUUUGAUGUCCAGUCGUG